rnacentral:piRNA from 1 species
UGGCAUCCAAGAUAGGAGUUUGGCCCAGG